rnacentral:tRNA from 1 species
GUGGCCUUAGUGUAGUGGUAACACAACAGAUUGUGAUUCUGUUAUUAGGGGUUCAAUUCCCCUAGGCCACCCCA